GGAGUUGUGAAGGGCUUGGAGAAUAUGCCCUACAAGGAGAGACUGAAGGAACUGGAGCUGUUUAGUCUGGGGAAAAGGAGGCUGAGGGGAAACCUUAUUGCUCUCUUCCAAUAUCUGACAGGUGCCCACAGCGAGAGUGGUGUUGAUCUCUUCUCACUGGUGACAGGAGACAGGACCAGGGGAAAUGGCCUCAAGUUGCACCAGGGUAACUUUAGGUUGGAUAUCAAGAAAAACUUCUUUACAGAAAGGGUCGUUAAGCACUGGAAUAGGCUCUCCAGAGAGGUGGUUGAGUCACCAUCCCUGGAUGUGUUUAAAAACCGUUUGGAUGUGGUGCUCAGGGACAUGAUUUAGCGGAGGGUUGUUAGAGUCAGGGUAGUAUGGUUAGGUUGUGGUUGGACUUCAUGAUCUUUGAGGUCUUCUCCAGCCUGAGCAAUUCUAUGAUUCUAUGGAUGGGGCUUUGAGCAACCUGGUCAGGUGGGAGGUGUCCCUGCCUAUAGCAGGCGGGUUGGAGCUAGAUGAUCUUAAAGGACCUAUCAAACCCAAACCAUUCUAUGAUCUAUGAUGUUAUGAUUCUAUGAUUCUUUCCUCCAACGCUGGCCUUUUCUUACCCUGCCUCUGGCUUCUUCCCAUAAAAAAGAGUAGCCUCUUGUUGUGUCAUA
rnacentral:lncRNA from 1 species